AUAAAUGCUAUCAAAGACUCUUUAACUGCAUUAAGAAAAACACUAUAAUAUAUGACAAUAAGAUAGCAGCGCAAAAAAACCGCUAUCUAAGGUGCUCGACCUAUUAUCACGGGCGUUGAUACAACGUUUCAUAAACCGCUAUUGUAUCAAUAGAUAGCAUUUUCGUCCGCUAAUAAAAACCAUUUUUCUUGUAUUGAUGAGAAGUGGUUUGUCUUUGCGAGGAAACCUUUCCGGUUUUCACUUCAGGAGUACCACGCUGUGACAGGGCUCAAGAUUACAUACUAAGGACACAGAGUAACAUACUAAGGACACAGAGUAAGAUCACCCUGAUGGAGAUCACUCUAAAUGAAGUUCACACUUGGACUCGGCUUGAUAGGAUGAGGUUGAUCUACUUGUGCGUGAUAGUGUGUGUGGUAAUGGGGAAAGAUGAGAAGGUGGGCAUCCCUCAUAUGUACAUCAAGAUGGUGAUGGACUUUGAAAAGAUGCAGAAGUUCCAUUGGGGUCUUCACUCGUAUGACUUCCUUCUGAGUUCGAUUAAGAAUGCUAGGAAGAAGUUGGGUAAGAAGCCAAGCUACAUUUUCUAGGGUUUCUUCUUUGCUCUCCAGAUUUGGAUUAUGGAAGCAAUUCCUGAUUUUGGAGAAAUAUUAGGCAGAAAAGUCUCUGACAGUUUCGUAGGUCCAAGGUGUGGUAAUUGGAAAGGAGUGGCAAAAAUUUCGUAUGAAGACAUCAAUGAUCUUGAAAACUCCUUAACCAAGAAGGAUGAUUUGUUCUCUGUCAUCUCAGAGUCUGGUACUUAUAGUGUGCUUGUGGCUGAUCGCUAUAAAAGGAAUGGUGAGAUGGAAGAUGAAAGAGUGGACCUUCUUCUGACUAGUAUUCGAGAAAAAUUUGAUUGGAGCAACACAGAAUGGCCAGUUUUAGAACCUGAUGAGACUGACAUGGAGGAAGCCGAGAAAAUGAUACAGGUUCAGAAGCACAUAAGUGUGGGGAAGAUACUGAGGUUGUAGCAGACGAGGAGACCUCUUCAGUUAAGGUUGCAGGAAAAGGCAAGAGAAAGGUUCAUGAUGAAGGAGCAGACACAAGAAAGAGGAAGUUACUGUGUAAACGAAUUUCAGAAAAAAAUCUGACCCUUGAUCCUGAAACUAAGAGUUUCAUUCAGGGUCUCGUCCAUACAUCUGUCACUUCCUUGGGGGAUAUGCUCAGUAUGCAAAUGGCAAAUAUGGAGAGGAUGUUAACAGAGAAGAUGGGGAAGCUGGAGAGCGAGGUUUCACAGAUCAGAGAUGCAAGCAGGUUGAGAGGUGAAAGAAGCGAUCCUAGCAAGAGCGAAGUUGAAGAAGGUCAUCUAAACAACAAAGCCAAUCAAGCUCCACCUAAGAGAAAAAUUGUGAAAUCACCACCUAAGAGCAAAGGCAAUCAACCUACAGCUAACAAAAAGGUACUUCCUAAGAGAAAGUGUAGAACCUGAUGUACUUGGAACUAUGAUGUUUGAGUUAGGGUGCUUGAACUAGGCUUUUGGAGCUAGGUUGUACUUGGAAAUUAAGAUUUUCAUUGUGUAAUAUUAUGUAACAUUUUCGGAUUUUGUAAUAUGCAAUGGAACAAGCUUUUGUAAUAGGUUUGUAGUGUGCAAUAUGCUUGAAUGUUUGUGUAAUGGAAAAACUCUAUGAAUGUAUGCUUUGUUUCUGUUAUGAAUGAAUGUAUUCUUAUAUGCUUUGUUAUUUAUUUUAAUGAAUAGGAUGGGAAAAAAAUUGCUACGGACACUAAUGAUUUUGAUUUUUGAUUGAGUACACAAGAGUUGAGGGACCUGUCCCAAAAUACAUUUGUUGAUGUUUUUUUGAUCUUUCACAAGUUAAAGUCGAGACCUCAAGGAAAUCAAAAGCUCUGAACAAGUCUCCACUGCAGCUGCUUGAUGGCCUAAUAGAUCGAGCCAAAGAAGACUCACUGGAUGCCGCAUGGUGUUUUUCUGUGAAGAGGAUUGGGAAAAAGCAAGACAUUGGUCAAAUUCUUCAACAUGUCUACGGCUUGGACCUGCUACUUUAAAUGUUGAGAUUGCUAAUCGUCUUAUGAAUAGUUCUGAGUGGCUUUAUGCCUUGGAGAUUGACGCCGCAAUGUACGUGUUCCGGGAGAGAACAUCUUUGAAACGAUGGACACCUCACCGUGCCGUCUUCAUGACUGUCACCUUCAGCAAUAUGAUUAAAAAGGAGUAUGGUAUUUUAUAAGAUCAUGGUAGAAAGAACUACACGCUUAAUAAUUUUCUGCUGCAGUACGGUAAAGGGGUCCUUCCACCACAUGGAAGCACACAUGAGAUAUGGAAUGUAGAUGUGGAUCGGCUGUAUAUCUCUGUUCAUGUCAGUGGGAGUCAUUGGAUUCCCUUGUCCAUCAGUUUCGUGAUGAGGACCAUCGAUGUGUUUGACUGCUCGGGUAAAAAAAGGUACAAGGAGCUGGAUGGGUUCGCAAACCUUAUUCCUCGUAUUGGCAAGGCAGUUCAGCCAGAUAGACACCAGAAAGAUUUCAAAAUAGGUGCAUGUACUGUUUCCUAUGUCCAUGUUGGGGAAUCUGAAUAAAAGUGCUUGUGAUUGUGGUGUCUAUGCAGUGAAGUUCAUUGAGUGCCAUGCGCUUGGAUUAUAGUUGUCUUUGUUGAAAGAUGAUAAUAUAAUCAAAGCUCGCCACAAAGUUUUGUGGGAUCUUUGGGAAGCAGCUAAUGAUCCGGAAUUGAUUGAGAGGAUGUCAAAGUAUUAGUCCCCAGAAUGCUUAGUCUCUUCGACUAUACAUGAGAUUCUGUGAGACUGUUUGGUUUGUAGUUCUAAUCAAAUGAAAAGCUUUAGGUUUUUUUUCUCAGUUUUUAGAAAAAAAUAUGAUUCAUCUAAUGUAUGACUGCUGGUGUUUUAUUCUGAUUUUGAGGAACAAGAAUGCUUAAUCUUAAGAACAGCUUUUGGUUU